UGAGAUAUAGCUUAACUGGCAGAGCAUCGCUCUCAUAAGGCGAAAAGUUUAGGUUCGACUCCUAAUAUCUCAACUA
rnacentral:tRNA from 1 species